rnacentral:rRNA from 1 species
GUGAAGAUGCGGAGUAUUAGUGGCUAGACGGGAAGACCCUGUGCUUCUUUACUAUAACCUUUCAUUGAAACCUGGUCUCUCUUGUGUAGAAUAAGUGGGAGAUAUCUUCUUCGGAAGAAAUCGCAAGUGAAAUACCACUCUGGAUUUACUGGGAAUCUUACCUUUUUAAGAAAAAGGGACAUUGGAUGGUGGGUAGUUUGACUGGA